rnacentral:snRNA from 9 species
AUACUUACCUGGCGCAAGGGAUACCGUGAUCAUGCAGGCGGUUCCCCCAGGGCGAGGCUGCUCCAUUGCACUUUUUUUCUACCUAAGCUGAGAGCCUUGAGAGGCUAUUUCAACGUAACCUUAACUAGUAGGUGAGCUCACGGGGCUCAA